rnacentral:misc_RNA from 2 species
AACGCACAUUGCGCCCGGCAGUAAUCUGCCGGGCAUGCCUGUCCGAGCGUCAUUUCACCCCUCGAGCCGCUUUUAGUGGAUCGGUGUUGGGGCACUACGGUAAAACGUAGGCCCCGAAAUGAAGUGGCGGUCCCGCCGCGGUGCCCCCAUGCGUAGUAACGUUUAGUCUCGCAUCGGGUCCCGGCGGAGGCCUGCCGUCAAGCCUUUUAUUCUCAGAAUAGUUUGACCUCGGAUCAGGUAGGGUUACCCGCUGAACUUAA